rnacentral:RNase_P_RNA from 1 species
GCGGAGGGUUGGAUGAUCGCGGGCAUGCGUGUCCGAGGAAAGUCCGGACUCCCAGAAGCGACGGCGCCGGGUAACGCCCGGCCGGGGCAACCCGAGGGACAGCGCCACAGAGAACAGACCCCCCGGCGACGGGGAAGGGUGAAACGGUGGGGUAAGAGCCCACCGCCGGGCUGGCAACAGACCGGGCACGGCAAGCCCCGCCGGGAGCAAGGCCGAAUAGGGAUCGCGCAUGGGGUGCUUCUCCCCGCGGUCCGGGUUGGCUGCUCGAGGUCCCGCGCAAGCGGCGGCCCAGAUGAAUGAUCAUCCACGGGGACACGUCUGACGGUCCCCCGGACAGAAUCCGGCUUACAGACCCUCCGCACCU